rnacentral:tRNA from 1 species
AGGUAAGUAGCUUAAAGUUUAGAGCGUGGUCUUGAAGCGGCUUUGGUGAGGAAUUCCUCCUAACCUG